UUGGAUUCUCUCGCUCUCUCUCUCUGCCGAACUGUCGUCAGGGUGGCUACAUGCUAGUCUUUUGCUGAAGUUGUUAUUGUUUUAUGUGAGAGAGUCAGAUAUUUAAGCGUCUGAGUUUCAUCAUCAGCGCAGAGAGCGAAGCUUUUUGCCGUCGGUUGAUUAGCGGACUGUGUAUUUUGUGACGAAAACGGAAGAGAAACCAAAACUUGGACAGAUGAGAGCCGUGUAUUCUGCCUUGUGUCUGGAGUGUGUGUGUGUGAUGUGAUGCUUGAGCCUCUGGUGAGUCAACUUAUUUGAAUGAUCUGAUGAAGUAGAAAUGUGAAUCUGCUAAUAUUAAUAUGGAUUAAUGAGGCAUUAAUUUCAUGUGUGUUGUGUUUAAAAAGAUAUAAAAUGUUUUAUAUUACAGUGUUUUACUUAUAUUACCCCCACUCUGUUGUUUUCUCUGAGAGUGAGCGGCGAUAAAAGAAAAUGUUCAUGUUAAUAUAGAGAAAUGUGUUCAGUUCAUUUAGAGAAGUUGAAAAUAAUUAUUAGUAAACAAUGUUACAAUGUACGUAUAUAAAUAAUGUUAUUUGCAUUUAUUUACAUUUAAAAGUAAAUCUUAUUUAUAUGACUAUUACAGUAACCCUCUUUUGGCCUUUAUAGGCCGGGUCUUUUUCCUUUACAUGGAUUUCUGGGUUGAGAUCUGCAUGAAAACUUCUUCUGCUGGGAUUCCUUCCAUUUUGUAAAGGUAGAAGGGAACCUCAGUAGUCGUGGCGAGCUACCCAAAACAGAGACUGUUGAUUAUUCUGUGGCCGGAUUUGUUGUGAACUGUUGUUGACAUCUCGUGUGUCGCUGACAAUUUAAAUUACUUUUGUCUAUUUUUAUUUUAUUUUUUUUGUUCUUUAAAUCAACACAAUAUAAUACAUUUAAAACGUA